GACCAAGCUGAUGAUGGCCACCGUGAGACUCUGAGGGUCCUUCGGACUGCGUCUAGUCUAGGAACAGCUGCAUCGGGCAUUGUUCCCUGCUGGAGCGGGGCGGCGCGGUUGCCACUGCAGCUGCUGCUGGUUGGGGCCGGACGGUGGACCAGUGGACCACGGUCCUCUGCAUCUACGCUCUGCUCUCUCUCGGGGAGGAUAGAGCAGCUCUGGCACGUAGUGCCCAGCAGCGCGCCGGGUCCUUGAGGUAAAGCCAAGAUGCCAGUAGCUCCAGACCUGGGGGAAGUGCUCUCAACAGUAAGCAUCUUAUAUCUCCUGAGAUGAGGGUGGGCAGUGCCCUCCCCAAGCAGCUCUGCAGCAUCUUCCCUCUGCCGAAUACAGGAGAGCCAGAGAGGAGGAGACGUUAAGGUUGCCUCUGGGAAAAGCCAAAAACUCCAGCCAGCUGAUACUGGUUUGCUUUAAAAAGGCAACCUUAUCAGAUCAGAGUAGCAUACAGAACACAGGAACAAAGGAGAAUGUUUUCUGAUGUCAGAUGACGACAGAUGCUGGGGAAGACUGGCUUUUCACCAGCUAGGAAGAGCUUCUCUCAGAGCGUACAUCAACAAGAAGCACAGGGAACAGAAAGGAGCCUUAAGCAGAAGGAAGCGGGAACCGUCUAUGGUUCUCCAGGACAGCUGUUCCAGCGACCAUGGAGACCGAGGUGACUAGGUGAGAACUUUAGAUACUGCUGUCCCUGGAGAACACUGUCCCUAGAGAACACUAUCUCCAGAGAACACUGACUAUGGCUUCCAUCAACCUAAGCAGAGUGUCACUUCAAAGAAGAAACGCAAUGUAACAAGAGACACUGACCAACUCCAGGCUCCAGGCUUCUUCACACUCACCCUUCCUGGAUGCCAAGCCUUAGCUAUGACCAUGGAUGAUAGCGCCUCCUCACAGGGCUUUCUGGUUAUUAAAUAUGACGAUGCAGCUGUGGAGGGUUUGAAAUGUACUGGGUGAUCGUAAUUAAAAAUGAGAAUGGUUCUGAUUGUUGCC